CAGCAGCCACGGUAAAACGGAGGAUCCAAGCGUUAUCCGGAAUCAUUGGGUUUAAAGGGUCCGUAGGCGGUCUUGUAAGUCAGUGGUGAAAGCCCAUCGCUCAACGGUGGAACGGCCAUUGAUACUGCAGGACUUGAAUUAUUGGGAAGUAACUAGAAUAUGUAGUGUAGCGGUGAAAUGCUUAGAGAUUACAUGGAAUACCAAUUGCGAAGGCAGGUUACUACCAAUUGAUUGACGCUGAUGGACGAAAGCGUGGGUAGCGAACAGGAUUAGAUACCCUGUAGUCCCUGUCUCUUAUACC
rnacentral:rRNA from 1 species